rnacentral:tRNA from 1 species
GAGAGAGGCUCGCAGCAACGAAGACUGCUAAUCUUCGCUAUCUUGGUUAGACUCCAGGACUCACUCG